UCAUUAUAAGUUUUUGGUUUUUGUAUAUUGGAUCUUAAGUUGCUAAACUAAAAAUGUAUGUAUUGGAAUGAAAUCCUACAGAAACAAGAUGUCUAAUUAGUUUAUGUCAACUAAUCUAGACAAAAGUAAGCAAAUAAUGGGUUGGACGGAUAGUUUACAUUAUAUGAUUCAAGUUUCAAAAAUUCUAUAUAUUCUUGCAAAACUCGUAGGAUAUGCCGAAAUAAAAGUUGCAAUUGAUCACAACAAGAAAAAUGAUAUAACUUAAUUCCUCGAUGGUGUGACAAAAUUUGAACAUUUUUUUUGUAUUACAAUGUCUCUUUAACUCAAGUCCAUGAUAGUGUAAUCAAUUUAAUUGUGUUCUUUUAUAUAAAUUAUUAUCUGAAAGAGUCUUCCCAUAUUUUCUUAAUUUCUGAUUUUUUUUAUUUUAGUACACUUGUUAAUGGAGCUAUCUCUUCAUCUUCCAAGGCAUUCCCUCAUUAAGAUAUUAGGACAAGCUACCCAGUUGAUAUAUGGAUCUGAAAAUUGAAUAAAAGUUGCGUAAAGAUUGCAUCUUUCAUGAAACGAAUAGGAUAAAUAUUUAUAUAGUUGGGUUUCCUUAGCACAAAUGGAGUACCAAUAGACUAGGUUAAUUAAAAAUGUUCUCACCUUGAACGUUAGGCAGGAGGCAAGGUUAGGAGGAACAAAUUUAAAUGGACAAAUUUAUCUUAUAUAAGUAUGUGUUAGGCGUAAAUAAAUUUUUGCUUAGUUGUUAACAAGAUGAAACAUGUUCAAUCUAGUAGAGUUAUUAUGUUGAUGUGAAUGCCUCAAUCGAGAACUUCAUUUUCUCCAGGAUUUUCUGCAUUGGAAGUCAUUGUAUCAUAGGUUAGUGAUAUGUUCAGAGAUGGCUAUGCUUAAUUUCCCCCUUCACCAAAAUCACAGCCAUAGAGAAAACAAACUUUCUUAUGUUUUUAUGUGUUGGCAAAAAAUGUUUCUCAUUGUUAGGUUUAAAAAAGCGAGUAGUGCCAUGAUUCAAAGGCCUCUUUGUUGUCUAAUUAGACCGAAGUAUACUUAUUUUUCGGAUCUACAAUUGUCACUUUUAAAUUCCUGCUAGGUGUUUCAAUUUUGAUCUUUCUCAAAGAAAAUUAGUUUCUUUACUUGAUUUCUUGUUAUGAGUACCAAUGUUUCUAACACCGCCAAUGUCGGUCCCAAGCCCGAAUGAAAAAGGUGGAGGGUUGCUUAAGGCCAUAAAAAGCCAGUGUUGAAAACAUGUUAGUACUCAUAAGCAUGAUCCUAACUGUUUCAUGGUAAGACUAGUCCGUCACAAUAAAUUGAUGCAACAUAUAUUGACCUCUCCAGUUAUUAUGAGAAAUAGAGUUUUCUGUUCCUAGUUCUAACAUUUAAAGUGCCCAUUAGUUCUUUAAAUCAAGGUCUACAAUACCGAAUGAUACUGCUCGUACCGGGCGGUACAUACCGGUCCGUCAAUAGACCAGUACACGGACAGCCCGCUACCGAGCGGUACCAUCAAUUAAGGCAUUAUCGUUAUCGAUUGAGGUGUUAUUAUCGACGGUGAUCGAGGGAGAAGAAAGAAGAGGGAGAAGACGAAGAAAGAAAUAGGAAAAAAAGGUAAAACCUGGAUGUCACCUCUCUCCUCCUCGUCUGUCGACGACUUCUCAUCUGUGCACGGGAGAAGAGGCAUCGGCUUGUGGGGCGGAGAGAAGCGAAGAUUUUUUUUUUUCUUCUCUUAUUGGGCAAUGUCGCCUCGGGCAUCAUCGCAAUAUUUUUGUUUUUUAGAUGUCGUAAUUUUUUUUUUAUCUGCACGUCACCCCGCAUAGAGGUAAACUGUGCAGCUUACCUAUAUAUAUAUAUAUAUAUAUAUAUAUACAUAUAUAUAUAUACAUACAUAUACACACACACACACACAGCGGUAUACCAAAAUAUACCACUCGGUAUAUAGUAUCAUACCGUAUCAAAUAAGUCUUGAAAUUUUGGUAUAGUACAAAAUUUCAAUCCUUGAUUUAAGUGACUUCUUUUAUGGACUAACAUGCAAAUAUCGGGACUGUGUAACUUAUAUAUCAUGAACUAGCAUUGUCCAUAAUGUAAGUUACUUAUAUAAGAAACCAACAAGUAUGCUUUCUAUGGAUGAUAAUUGUUAGGACGGGAAACCACAGCAUGUGGAUAAGGCUCUUAAUGGUGAAAUUUUAUAGGUUGGAUCAAGGUAUGCAAUACCGUACCGUAUUAGUAUUUCGAGGUUGGCUCGGUAUGGUAUAGUACCGUAUACCGAGCGGUACGUCAGGGUGUACCGAGCGGUACACCUAAUUUAGGUGUAAGACCCUCCGAAAAUACCUAAAAAUAAAAUAAAAGUUAGGAUAGGAUUUUUAUGUUAGAAAUAAAUAUAGUAAUAGCAUAAGUUUAGUAAAAUCAAUGUAAAUUAGGUAAGAAUAGUAUCAUAUAUCUUUUUCAGGCUUUGAAGAAUAUCUUAUGCAAGGUUCAUAUUUCAGUUUAGUACGGAUUAUCCUUAUGUAAACAUACCUCUUGAAUAGAAAGUUCUUCCUCUUAAUCUUCCUAAAUUAGCCUCGAUUCAAUUUACAAAUCGUUGUUUUGUAGAGUUUAGGAGAGAACAAAUGUGAGAAAAAAAGAGUUUGAGAUAGUUUAAGAGAGUAUGAGAAUGUAAUGGAGUGAAAUAAAGGAGAAGAAGGGUUUUUAAAUAUCAUAAGAAAGGGUUCCAAUGGUCAAUUUGACCAUUGGAGCACUGUAUCACUGUUACCGAGCAGUUUUAAAUAUUUCUUCCUCUUACUGUAGCAUUGUAGCACUCUAGCAUGUUCUGUCCGGUAGCGGGUGGUCCGCAAACCGGUAUGUCGUCGGACCGGUACGUAUCGCCCGUACCGGUUGGUAUCAUUCUAAAUUGGUUGGAUUAAGAUUGACAAUCCUUGGAACAUGAUGAGGUAAACUACUCCACUCUAUUUGACUUUGUGAACUAAAACUUGAUGGUUAAUUUUUUUUUUAACUUUUUAUUGGCAGCUGUAAUGACAUAUAUGAAUCUCCAAUUGAAUUGUGAGAGACACGAUGGCUAUGUAGGUCCAUCUUCUCAAAGGAUUUGGACUGCCAUUUAAAUGAACAAGUCUCCACAUUGUUAGUUACAGAUGUUCUUCUGUUUCUUCUUUGCAUUUUGUUCUGUAAUAUUUUGUGUCAAACAUUGAAAUAAUUAUAGAUGAUGUGUUCCAUAUUACUUAAUAGAAAUUCUUUUGCUUUUUGGCUUUCCACGUGUUUAAAAGUGUUCUUUCUUAGUUUAGAGGAUUCCACAAUAAGUUUAUGAAGAAACUAAUGUUAAUUAAAUUAUUUUUUCAUGCAUAUUAUGUGAAUGGAUAUGGUUUCUUAUCAAAUCAAUUUACAGCCUGAUUUGGCAAUUUUGUACUUGAAUAGUUGGGUCUGUCUUCAAUAUUUGAUGAAAUUGUUAAAACUGAAGUAACCAGGCACAUGCAACCUACUGAUUACUUGAGCUUGUUUGGGGAAGAAUUCAAAUGAACUGAAGAUUAUUGGGAUGCUUCUUAUUUGAAUGUCUUGGAUAUAUCUGCAGCGGAAGAAGGCAGUCCUCAUGUCUUAUUUGGAUGUGCUUCACAAUGUACUCCUUUUUGUUUUGGGGCCACAUAUGCCAUUUCCUUCAGAUAUUGACCUUUGCAAAUGUUCAUUUCCUAAGGUGGCUGAUCAAGAGUCUUUAGCUGUUUCUUCUAACUUUGUGAUAUGUUCUCAUGGGGCUUCUAGCACAUCCAGUAAUCCGGAUGAAGCAAAGAGAAAGAUUGAUGCAUCUAAAGCUGCCACAAGAAAAGAUGUACUCCAAGAUGCUAAUCUGUAGUUUGCUCCUAGAGAUCUGUCAAAAAUUGUUCUGACAAGUGUUUCAAAUUAUUUUACUGGGGACUGGAUCAGAUUGAAUUUCAGUUGUGGUGUUUCAGAGGUGAAUAAGAUUUCAAAUAACAACUUUCAGAAUAUUGGUUUCUUUGCUGAUUACUUGUAUUCACAAGCAGAUUAUCUACAACUUGUAAACUAUCAAGAUUCGGUAUAUAGGGCUUCCCAAUUUGAACAUUUGGCAGCUGAUUUGUGUUCCCAGCAUGACAACCCCAGAAAGCCAUGAAGCUGCAAUAGAAUCCAUACUCUUGGCUGCAGAAUGUUAUGCCAACUCAUUCUUUAUAAUCGAUUUCAUAUGGAUGCAAUUCAGAGCUUAUGAAUCAGAUGAAAAUCAUUGGAUCCAAAUUCAUGAAUAAAAAUGGAUUAGUGGUGUUUUAUGAAGACCUUAAGAGAUGUAAUGUCAAUCUGGAGACAAUAGCUUAUCUUGAAAGUAAAAGAGAUAUAACUGUUCUACAAAUUCUGCUUCCGCUAAACUGGACCUCGAAUCUGAGAGAAUUUUGGCUCUUUGGAAACCUUGUACAUAUUAUUUUGAAGAUAAUCAGUAGGCUUUAGAAAUAUCACAAGUCGACAUUGAAUCUGAUGUGGCAACUUUGAUUAGGCAGAAUCAACCAUUGCUUUGCCACUUUGUAAUCCUCCUACAGUCUCCCCUCUUUCUACUGCAUUCUGCAACUGAGUUAUCCUGUUCUGUAGAGAAUGUUAAUGACAUUAUACUGCAGUCAGCUGCAAAUCUUAGUGGACAACUUACAAUUUUGUACACCCAACUGAAAGCAGGCAACAUACAACUUGAAAUGGUAAAGUUACAUGGGCUGCCAAGGUGCUGGGCACUUCUUGAAGGAUUAAUCUGGAAAUGAUGAACGGACAUAUCCCAUUGGUAUCAAAAGUGCUGGUUUCAUCUACAGAACUUUAGUUCCACAUUUAUCAUGGAUGCAGAAAAUAUCUAGAUUUUCAA